GUUUCAUCACAAUUGAAGAGCAUUGUUGAACUGCCAGCCCUUUUUAGGAGUAAACUGAAAAACCUACAUCCAUAACCACAUUUUUGGGGAAUAAUAAGAAAACCGUUUGAAGAUGAAUGCAACAAUUAUCGCAGUCCUUCUUCUGAUUAUAGGGAAUUCACAAAACACAACAACCAAUGCCCUCACAACAACCACAGAUGUUGCCACGACAACCACAGCUGCUGUAACUACAGCCACAGUAGCCGCCAACACAACCACAGCUGCUGUAACUACAGCCACAGUAGCCGCCAACACAACCACAGCUGCUGUAACUACAGCCACAGUAGCCGCCAACACAACCACAGCUGCUGUAACUACAGCCACAGUAGCCGCCAACACAACCACAGCUGCUGUAACUACAGCCACAGUAGCCGCCAACACAACCACCGCUGCUGUAAUUACAGCCACAGUAGCCGCCAACACAACCACAGCUGCUGUAACUACAGCCACAGUAGCCGCCAACACAACCACCGCUGCUGUAAUUACAGCCACAGUAGCCGCCAACACAACCACAGCUGCUGUAACUACAGCCACAGUAGCCGCCAACACAACCACCGCUGCUGUAACUACAGCCAC